UACGGAGGAUGCGAGCGUUAUCCGGAUUUAUUGGGUUUAAAGGGUGCGCAGGCGGUCUGUUAAGUCAGCGGUCAAAGCCCGGGGCUCAACCCCGGCCCGCCGUUGAAACUGGCAGUCUCGAGUUGGAGAGAAGCAUGCGGAAUGCGCGGUGUAGCGGUGAAAUGCAUAGAUAUCGCGCAGAACUCCGAUUGCGAAGGCAGCAUGCCGGCUCCACACUGACGCUGAGGCACGAAAGCGUGGGUAUCGAACAGG
rnacentral:rRNA from 1 species